rnacentral:rRNA from 1 species
GACUACUGGGGUAUCUAAGCCUGUUUGCUCCCCACGCUUUCGUGCAUGAGCGUCAGUGUUGGCCCAGGGGGCUGCCUUCGCCAUCGGUAUUCCUCCACAUAUCUACGCAUUUCACCGCUACACGUGGAAUUCUACCCCCCUCUGCCACACUCCAGCUCCGUAGUUUCAAACGCCAUUCCCAGGUUAAGCCCGGGGCUUUCACGUCUGACUUGCGAAGCCGCCUGCGCACGCUUUACGCCCAGUAAUUCCGAUUAACGCUCGCACCCUACGUAUUACCGCGGCUGCUGGCACGUAGUUAGCCGGUGCUUCUUCUUACAGUACCGUCAUCCACGCGGGAUAUUCACCCGCGCGAUUUCGUUCCGUCCGAAAGUGCUUUACAACCCGAAGGCCUUCUUCACACACGCGGCAUGGCUGGAUCAGGGUUGCCCCCAUUGUCCAAAAUUCCCCACUGCAGCCCCCCGUAGG